AGGGUUGGGCCUUUUUGAGGCAGCUACCAGAAGGGAGCACCAAGCAGAUGCAGCUCCCCUUCCCUCCCAUUCCACCAUCCACUGUCCCCAGCAAGAACCUGCGGGAGGGUGGCCCAAUGGGGAGAAAACUAAGGAUUCGGUGUUGGGACCACUCCUGCCCUGACCUGCCCUGUGACUCCGUCAUACUCUCCAAAGGCCAGACCCUCCUAGACCAGCUGGAACCACCAUCAAGAUGUCCCCAGCCAUGUCAGACUCUGGGGCCCCAGGCGGAGGGCAACCAGAUGUCUUCAGCUCCAAGUCUGGCCUCUCCUCCCAGCAAGCAGCCACCUCUGAUGGCCAACAGGUGCUGCUGUGUGCCCAGAUCAAGAAUCCACCUCUGCGGAAUUCAAAACCGCUGAGGGUUCUGGGACAGCAGGGAGGAGAGAGGUGGAGACGCAACAUGGGUUUUCUGUGUUCAGACUGCAGAGACCUUGGAAAGGAUCAACCAUAUACAAUGUCCAUUUCCUGCCCUCUAACCUGGCAGGGGAGCAAGGCCCAGCCAAGGAGUUACAGAAACUGAGGCUUGGCCAGGCGUGGUGGCUCACACCUGCAAUCUCAGCACUGGGAGGCCAAGGUGGGCAGAUCGCUUGAGCCCAGGAGUUUGAGACCAGCCCGAGGAACAUGGCGAAACCCCAUCUCUACAAAAAAUACAGAAAUUAGCCAAGUGUGGUGGCACGUGUCUGUAGUUUCAGCUACUCAGGAGGCUUAGGUGGGAGGAUCACCUGAGCCUGGGAGGUAGAGGUUGCAAUGAGCAGAGAUUGCUCUCCAGCCAGGGAGACAGAGUGAGACCCUGUCCCAAAAUAAAUAAAUAAAUAAGAAUAAAAUUUAAAAAAGAAACUGAGGCUCAAAGAGAACAAGUGACUAGUUCAAGGACUCAUUUUCACUAAGCUGGGACCAGAUCCCAGGGUUCUAACCGCUUACCAGAUCCUUUUCCAUUACCCUCUUGUUUAACCACAUCUUGAGUACCUGCUGUGGGCCAGGAGCUGAGAUACUUUGGAGAGUCUUUCAGGAAUAUUGUCCCAGCUCCUGAAACCUUUAGGGAUCCCCAAGUUCUAGACUCUGGCCAAAGCCGGCUGCCUUCACCCCCACCAAGGGAGACCCCCACAAACCAAGGGAGCCCUGCUCUCAGGUGCACAGGGCCUCUUCUCUCUGGGAGGUGACAGUUUUUUGAGGGUGGGGCCAGACACCUCCCAGGCUAUCCCUCACAGGAGAGGAUGGUCUGGACUGGAGGAGUAGAAGCAAGUAGGCACUGGGGAAGGGGAGGAGAGCGUCCUGAGUCCCAAGGGUCAGAGAUAGGAGCAAGAAGGAAACUGACGUGUUGCAGGGCGUGUGGUUAAGGAAGUGAGAGAGGGGCUCAGGGUCGAUUCUGCCUGCUUUUCCUUCCUCCAGCUUGCUCAGCACUCUUCCCAGAAUGUGGGCCCCAAACUGCCAGGUGACAAACAAUGCCCCCACCCCAAGAGAGUCAUCCAGCAUGUUUGAAGCUCCAUCUGGUCCUGUACACCAGUUGCACACCACCAAACGCAGACCCAUGACCACUCCACAACCUCGCACACAGACAGGGCAAAUCCCACCACAGAUCCGUGCAUCCCAGGCAUGCAGGCAAUGCGAUACUGACACAUGCCCGCCCCGCCCACGCCUGGGCCUCUGAACCCUGCUCCAGUCUCCUCAGUCAAGGGCGGCGGCCCCCUCAGGCCUCUUCCACCCUUUUGCCCCAUUCAGAUGCCUGGUUCCCAGCAUUGCUUGGGUAGAGACUCCCGCCUGACAAGCCCCAGCAGGCCAAGUUGAUGAGCCGGCCAAGCAAGCCUGUGUCUCCGCAGCGCCCUCCAUGUACACAUAACCCCCAUCACCGGGAACCUGGGCACCCCGCACUGGCACUAUGUCUGGCCCACGGGUAGGGGAUGGUUCCCAGGGUCUCCCCAGACCCAGUGCUCUUCCCCUGUAGGGCCACUCUUGCCCAGGGUUAGGAUGGACUGUGCUCCCUCUCCCUCAAACUAGGCCAGAGCCACGGAAGCCUGGGAAGGGAGAUGAGGAAGCACUUGUCACUCCAGACAUCCCACCACCAUCAGGGAGGUGGGCUGAGAUAAUGCCAAAUGCACAAAAUCCUCAAAAUCUGUCUGGGCAUGAUGAUUCAUGCCUAUAAUCCCAGCACUCUGGGAGGCCAAGGCAGGAGGAUCGCUUGAGCCCAGAAGUUCAAGACCAGCCUGGGCAACACAGCGAAACCCCGUCUCUACAAAAAAUAUAAAAAUUAGCCAGGUGUGGUAGUGCAUGCCUGUGGUCUCAACUACUCAGGAGGCUGAGGUGGGGAGGAUCACCUGAACCCAGGGAGGUCAAGGCUGCAGUGUGAGACCCGGUCUCAAAAAAAAAAAAAAAAAGGCUGGGCAACUUGGCAAGACCCCAUCUCUACAAAAAAUUUAAAAAUUAAUCGGGGAUGGUGGCGUGCACCUCUGGUCCCAGCUAUUCAGGAGGCUAAGGUGGGAAGAUCACUUGAGCCCAGGAAGUCAAGGGUGCAGUGAGCUGUGUUCGCGCCACUGCACUCCAGCCUGGGUGACGGACCAAGACCCUGUCUCAAAAAAAAAAAAAAAAAAAAAACUCCCCAAGUUCUUUCAGUGGCAGCACAGCUCAGGGGCUGACACACGGGAUCUGGAGUCCUCUGGAGGCUGAGUCAGAGCCCUAUCUCUACCACUUUCUAGAUAUGAGACUUUGGGUGAGUUACUUAACCUCUUUAAGCCUUGGUUCCUCAUCAAUAAAAUGGUAAUGACAUGUAUUUCCACCUCAAAGGUUGUUGGGAGGAUUAAGUAAAUUAAAGAAAGUCUUAGCACAGGCUCAGAGCACAUAGUAGGGAUUUAAUAAAUGCAGGCUGUUUCGACGGCUUUUUGGAUAGUCAUCACAGUCACACUGACAUUCAGACAUGCAGACACUCAGCCAUGGAUACACAAAGACACGGUGACACAUGUGGACGCUCAUAGACCCAGGCAAGCUCAUCCUUCCCGGCAUCACCCCCACCUCCCACUGCCAGCCUCAGGUUCCUACAGGCUCUUGACGUGCCCCAGUUCCUCCCAAGCAGGGAGGAUUCAGUAGGAUCUCCCACUUCCUUGGCUGAACUUUGGCAAGCCCAGAGCACUACCUUAUGGGCCCUCUGGGAGUAGGGAAGGGGUGGGCAACAUGAGACCCCAGGAUGGGGCCUCUCCCAGCAGGCAAGGAGCAUGGCAAAGGUGCCAGGCUGGCAGGGUCUCCAGUGCCAGAGGAGGGCCAGUUCCUCCCUCAGGGACAACAGAGGAAGGGGAAACUAAAGAGGAGCCUCUUUCCUCUUGGUGGGAAAUGAGCACUUACAGAAAAGGGUGCGUCUAGCCAGCCACAAAGUAAACACCAGGGCCAUUGCCCAGGCAACAGCAGGCUGGCAUUGGGACAGGGCUUACCACAACCCCUCCGUACCCCUGAUUUACCCACUCAGCAGCCCUUGGCUGUCUCUGGGGUCUCCAUUCUGGUCUCUAGGCCUGUCUGCAGACUCCUCAAAGGGAAGAAGCUAUGCCUCCUCCAUCAGACUGUGUGCUCCUUGAAAACAAGGGAUU